rnacentral:rRNA from 1 species
UACGUAGGGAGCGAGCGUUGUCCGGAUUCAUUGGGCGUAAAGAGCUCGUAGGCGGCUUGAUAAGUCGGAUGUGAAACCUCCAGGCUCAACCUGGAGUCGCCAUCCGAUACUGUCAUGGCUAGAGUCCGGUAGGGGCCCACGGAACUCCUGGUGUAGCGGUGAAAUGCGCAGAUAUCAGGAAGAACACCGAGUGGCGAAGGCAGUGGGCUGGGCCGGUACUGACGCUGGAGGAGCGGAAAGCGUGGGGAGCGAACAGG